AAUGUCAGUUAGUGUUUGUAUGUGAUUUUCACCAUAAUUAAGCAGCUGUAUUGAGUUUGGUGUUUUGGAGCCCUCCUUUGGAGAAACGGUGUACUGCAGCUCUGCUGCGUUUUGUCCUUGUGUUGUUGCCAUACCCGAUCAGAAGCGGGAUGCUUUACAUCGGAUGCUGUUAUAUGUACACCAGUGCCUGAAGGCAUGUUUUGUUCUGAUUUUUCCAAAGGUAUGUUGCUUCAUAUGUUAAAUGUGAAUUAGUUUCAGAAUGAGGAAAUAUUUUCCUGUGUUUAUUUUUCUUAUGUUUAUUUUAUACCCUUCUUGUAUGCUAAAGGUGUAUCCUUCUGUAUGAAUGUUUCUUUUGUAACAAUUUACCAAAGAGAUGAGAAGCGGGAUGCUUUACAUCGGAUGCUGUUAUAUGUACACCAGUGCCUGAAGGCAUGUUUUGUUCUGAUUUUUCCAAAGAUUCUCCAAAGGAAUAAAUGUGAGAAAAGCCA